rnacentral:rRNA from 1 species
UGCCAGCCGCCGCGGUAAUACGAAGGGUGCAAGCGUUGUUCGGAUUUAUUGGGCGUAAAGCGGGUGCAGGCGGAUAAGAAAGUCAGAUGUGAAAUCUCGGGGCUCAACCCCGAAACUGCGUCUGAAACUCCUUGUCUAGAAUCUCAAAGAGGGAAGUGGAAUUUCGCAUGUAGGAGUAAAAUCCGUAGAGAUGCGAAGGAACACCAGAGGCGAAGGCGGCUUCCUGGUUGAGUAUUGACGCUGUAGCCGAAAGCGUGGGGAGCAAACAGGAUUAGAUA